GACGAACGCUGGCGGCGUGCUUAACACAUGCAAGUCGAACGGUGAAGCGCCUUCCUUUUUGGUGGGUGUGGAUGAGUGGCGAGCGGGUGAGUAACACGUGAGUAACCUGCCCCCUUCUUCUGGAUAACCGCAUGAAAGUGUGGCUAAUACGGGAUAUUCUGGGUCUGUCGCAUGAUGGGUCUGGGACAGAUAUUGUUUCGGUGGGGGAUGGGCUCGCGGCCUAUCAGCCUGUUGGUGGGGUGAUGGCCUACCAAGGCGGUGACGGGUAGCCGGCCUGAGAGGGUGGACGGUCACACUGGGACUGAGACACGGCCCAGACUCCGACGGGAGGCAGCAGGGGGGAAUAUGGCACAAUGGGCGCAAGCCUGAUGCAGCGACGCCGCGGGAGGGAUGGAGGCCUGCGGGUUGUGAACCUCUUUCGCCAGUGAAGCAGGCCUGCCUCGUUUGUGGGUGGGUUGACGGUAGCUGGAUAAGAAGCGCCGGCUAACUACGUG
rnacentral:rRNA from 1 species